GUCCAGCUGACGAGUCUCACACAGGACGAAACCCGCGUCCUGUUU
rnacentral:hammerhead_ribozyme from 1 species